rnacentral:tRNA from 2 species
GGGCGGUUAGCUCAGUUGGUUAGAGCGCCACGUUGACAUCGUGGAGGUCACAGGUUCGAGUCCUGUAUCGCCCA